rnacentral:rRNA from 1 species
GACGUAGGGCGCGAGCGUUGUCCGGAUUUAUUGGGCGUAAAGAGCUCGUAGGCGGUUUGUCGCGUCGAAUGUGAAAUCCCGGGGCUCAACCCCGGGCCUGCAUUCGAUACGGGCAGACUAGAGUUCGGUAGGGGAGUCUGGAAUUCCUGGUGUAGCGGUGAAAUGCGCAGAUAUCAGGAGGAACACCGGUGGCGAAGGCGGGACUCUGGGCCGAUACUGACGCUGAGGAGCGAAAGCGUGGGGAGCAAACAGG